rnacentral:rRNA from 1 species
UUCUGUGGGGGCGGAGCGGCCGGCCGCAACUCGCGGUUCGAGCUAGCGCUUCCCCUACAUCCUGCCGCGAACCGUGCUACCAUUAGUUUGGUGGCGCCGGGGAUCGGCUCGUUUACUUUGAGAAAAAUAGAGUGUUCAAAGCAGGCCACACGCCUUGAAUAAGUUAGCAUGGAAUAAUAAUAAAGGACUUCGGUUCUAUUUUGUUGGUGUUCGGGACUGAAGUAAUGAUUGAUAGGGACAGUUGGGGCGGUCAGUAUUCCAAAGCGAGAGGUGAAAUUCUUAGACCUUCGGAAGACUAACAGCUGCGAAAGCGGUCCGCAAGGAUGUUCCCUUUGAUCAAGAACGAAAGUUGGGGGAUCGAAGACGAUCAGAUACCGUCGUAGUCUCAACUAUAAACUAUACCAGCUAGGGAUCGGCCAACGUUAAAUUAUCCGACUUGGUCGGCACCUUAUGAGAAAUCAAAGCAUCUGGGUUCCGGGGGGAGUAUGGUCGCAAGGCUGAAACUUAAAGGAAUUGACGGAAGGGCACCACCAGCCGUGGAGCCUGUGGCUUAAUUUGACUCAACACGGGAAAACUUACCAGGUCCAGACAUAGUAAGGAUUGACAGAUUGAUAGCUCUUUCUUGAUUCUGUGGGUGGUGGUGCAUGGCCGUUCUUAGUUGGUGGAGUGAUUUGUCUGGUUAAUUCCGUUAACGAACGAGACCCCAGCCUGCUAAAUAGCGCGGUUGAGCUUUGCUCGGCGCGAGCUUCUUAGAGGGACUAUGAUGCGCGAUAGCACAUGGAAGUUUGGGGCAAUAACAGGUCUGUGAUGCCCUUAGAUGUUCUGGGCCGCACACGGGCUACACUGGCGCCUGCAACGAGCAUAUCAGCUGGCCCGAGAGGGUCUUGGCUAAUCUUUUGAACCGGCGCCGUGCUUGGGAUUGACCAUUGCAAUUGUUGGUCAUGCAACGAGGAAUGCCUUGUAAACGCGAGUCAUCACUCGCAUUGAAUACGUCCCUGCCCUUUGUA